UAAGAAGAUAAAAGAACAAGGCCAACAUCACAAUGAGGAAACAAUCACACAUAUUCAGAAUGUUGGACAUUCUCCAAGAUAACCAGGGUGGAAUAAUCAAUGUCUUUUGAAAAAAUGUGCAGACUAUUUCAUAUCAGAAAAAGACUAUGAAAGAAUAAAGGAAUUCAUAGCUGUGGUGCUGAGAACGUAACCUACUCCCAUUGGUUUCCAACAACUGAGACCUUGAACAGUGACUUCGUAGCUGUAAAUCCCAGAAUCUUCUGUUUCAAAUCAAUUCUUCAGGAAAAAGAGGACAAAAUAUAAACCCAAGUGGAGAGAGUGCUAAAAGACACAAGAUUUUUUUUUAGAGAAUUUAUCAAUCUAAUAUGAGCAGUUAAUUAUUUAUGAUGGUUCCUAUGUUUCACAGAGAAGUUAAAGAAAUAAGAUUAGAACCAUCUUAUGGGCUCUGGGUAAGGCUCUGCAAUCUGGCACCAUUUUUGCUUUAUUUAUUAUACCAAGGAGCAUGAAAAAUGUUUGCAAUUUGACUUGAACAUUUUCAUUGUCUUUGCUUUGCUUUUGUUUCUUUCUUUUUAAAAUCCG
rnacentral:lncRNA from 1 species